GACGAACGCUGGCGGCGUGCUUAACACAUGCAAGUCGAACGGUAAGGCCCUUCGGGGUACACGAGUGGCGAACGGGUGAGUAACACGUGGGUGAUCUGCCCUGCACUUCGGGAUAAGCCUGGGAAACUGGGUCUAAUACCGGAGAGGACCACUGCCUGCAGGGGUGGUGGUGGUAAGCUUUUGCGGUGUGGGAUGGGCCCGCGGACUAUCAGCUUGUUGGUGGGGUGAUGGCCUACCAAGGCGACGAAGGGUAGCCGGCCUGAGAGGGUGACCGGCCACCAUCGGACGGAGAUACGGACCAGACUCCUACGGGAGGCAGCAGUGGGGAAUAUUGCACAAUGGGCGCAAGCCUGAUGCAACGACGCCGCGUGAGGGAUGACGGUCUUCGGGUUGUAAACCUCUUUCAGCACCGACGAAGCGCAAGUGACGGUAGGUGCAGAAGAAGGACCGGCCAACUACGUGCCAGCCGCCGCCGUAA
rnacentral:rRNA from 1 species